AGAUAGUCUCUUUCCCACCUAAGCUUCUUUGCUUUUUUUAAUUUUUGUUGUAUCCUUCUUGUCUCUAUUAACGCUCAUCUUCCACCAUCAAGAAGCUCCAAAUCGAAGCAAUCUUCACUCUCCACAAACCCUAAUUCGAUGCAAUUGCAAUUUUCCACUCUUCAUGUUCUUCUAUCCAUGGAUCCGUAAAUCUCUAUAACCUCACAAAAGGUGUUUUCCAAUGCCUAGCGUUGGUGUGAAGCUGUACAGUGUCUUCUUCAAGUUCCUUUUGAAACACCGUUUACAAAACCGAAUUCAAUCUUCCGGUGAUGAAUCUUCUUCGGAUCCAUUUGGUGUCACGACCCGACCCGAAGAAUCCGUCGCUGCUCCGAAUCCGUUAUUCACCGACGGUGUUGCGACCAAAGAUAUUCAUAUCGAUCCGUUAACUUCUUUAUCUGUACGGAUUUUUCUUCCGGAAUCUGCUCUUAAGCCGCUUGAACCGAGUACCUCCGCCGGUGUUUAUUCCGGUAAGGCUCGAAAUCUCAACAACCUCGCCGGAUCCGAUCUUCUUAUUAGGAGAAAUAGCUUAGGUUCGUCUAAUUCGUUGUUGUCUCAUAAGGUAGAAUCUAGAAGGAGUAGUUACGGUUUCACCACUGGUUCUUCUUCCCCUGAGGCAGGAUCCUCCGACGUGUAUAGAGGAUACUCGCCGUCGUCUUCCGGUGGAAACUCUAGAAAACUACCUGUGAUGCUGCAGUUUCAUGGUGGUGGUUGGGUAAGUGGAAGUAAUGACUCAGUGGCUAAUGAUUUUUUCUGUAGAAGAAUGGCGAAGCACUGUGAUAUCAUUGUUUUGGCAGUCGGGUACAGGCUUGCGCCUGAGAAUCGGUAUCCGGCUGCGUAUGAGGACGGGUUCAAGGUGUUGAAAUGGCUGGGGAAGCAGGCGAAUUUGGCUGAAUGUAAUAAGUCGAUGGGAAAUUCGCGGCGACCGGGAGGUGAAGUGAAGAAAUCAGAAGUGAAUAAGCAUAUUGUUGAUGCUUUUGGUGCUUCUUUGGUGGAGCCUUGGCUUGCAACUCAUGCUGAUCCUUCGAGAUGUGUGCUUCUUGGUGUGAGCUGUGGUGCCAAUAUAGCAGACUAUGUAGCCCGCAAAGCCAUUGAAGCUGGUCAAAAUCUAGAUCCUGUCAAGGUUGUGGCUCAAGUCUUAAUGUACCCGUUCUUCAUUGGUAGUGUUCCCACACAGUCUGAGAUCAAACAGGCAAAUUCCUACUUCUACGACAAACCUAUGUGCAUUCUCGCUUGGAAGCUUUUCUUACCCAAAGAAGAAUUCAGCCUAGACCACCCGGCAGCAAACCCCCUUGUUCCUGGCCGAGGUCCACCACUCAAGUUCAUGCCACCGACACUAACCAUUGUCGCAGAGCAUGACUGGAUGAGAGACCGAGCCAUUGCUUACUCAGAAGAGCUAAGGAAAGUUAAUGUAGAUGCUCCCGUGCUAGAGUAUAAAGAUGCGGUCCACGAGUUUGCUACCCUCGAUAUGCUUCUUAGGACUCCACAAGCUCAGGCUUGUGCAGAAGAUAUUGCAAUUUGGGCCAAGAAAUACAUCUCUCUUCGUGGUCACGAGUUCUCAUACUAGUGUUCACCAGAAUCUCCAGGUAGCAAAAAGAGGUGAAUCAAAAGUAGACCAGAUUUUUUCGGGUUUUGCUGUUUCUCCACGAAGCGAAAAGAGGUGAACCGAAAGUAAACUUUUCGGGUUUUGUUGUUUCUACCAGGAAGCAAAAAAAAGGCAGGCGAAGGGAGAGGUUCUUUUUCUCUCUGUGAGUAGAGUUAGUGUAGAGAGUUGUUACUUUGUGAUAUGGGUCGAGUGAAAGACUCAGGUUGUCUCGGGGUAUUUCCCAUAUAUUAAACUAUAUAUACGUCACUCUCGGUAUGAGUAUCUAAAAAAAUCACCCGAGACAAAGAGAGGCCGGCGCCGGCCAGAAAUAAUGGAAGAUCGGAGAAGUUGUGGCUGGAAAGACGCUUUGGAGGAAUCGCCUUUGAUAUCGCCAGAAACCGUUCCUUUCUUACAUUUUUACCUAUAAACGUUUUUAACAAUCUUUAAAAAAUAUUUAUGAUAUGGCAUAUAACAAUUUGGUAGAAUUUAUGUAAUAUUUCAAACAUUUGAGUUGAGUAUCACAAUUUUAAUA